rnacentral:rRNA from 1 species
UACGUAGGUCCCGAGCGUUGUCCGGAUUUAUUGGGCGUAAAGCGAGCGCAGGUGGUUUAUUAAGUCUGGUGUAAAAGGCAGUGGCUCAACCAUUGUAUGCAUUGGAAACUGGUAGACUUGAGUGCAGGAGAGGAGAGUGGAAUUCCAUGUGUAGCGGUGAAAUGCGUAGAUAUAUGGAGGAACACCGGCGGCGAAAGCGGCUCUCUGGCCUGUAACUGACAUUGAGGCUCGAAAGCGUGGGGAGCAAACAGG